GUUAUAGAGUCAAGUGAAUAAGUGCAUAUCGUGGAUGCCUUGGCGAUUACAGGCGAUGAAGGACGUUGUAGGCUGCGAUAAGCCUCGGGGAGCUGCCAAACAAGCUUUGAUCCGAGGAUUUCCGAAUGGGGAAACCCACCCGUAAGGGUAUCCCGUGCUGAAUACAUAGGCACGUGGAAGCGAACCCGGUGAACUGAAACAUCUAAGUAGCCGGAGGAAAAGAAAUCAACCGAGAUUCCGAAAGUAGUGGCGAGCGAAAUCGGACCAGUCUUGAAGUUUUAGCAUCUUAGUUAACAGAACGCUCUGGAAAGUGCGGCCGUAGUGGGUGAUAGCCCCGUAUGUAAAAACUCUGGUGUGGAACUAAGCUUCGAACAAGUAGGGCGGGACACGUGUAAUCCUGUCUGAACAUGGGGGGACCAUCCUCCAAGACUAAAUACUCGUAAUCGACCGAUAGCGAACAAGUACCGUGAGGGAAAGGCGAAAAGAACCCCGGGAGGGGAGUGAAAUAGAUCCUGAAACGAUAUGCAUACAAACAGUCGGAGCCCGCAAGGGUGACGGCGUACCUUUUGUAUAAUGGGUCAGCGACUUACGUUUAGUAGCAAGCUUAACCAAUAGGGAAGGCGCAGCGAAAGCGAGUCCGAAUAGGGCGAUUAGUUGCUAGGCGUAGACCCGAAACCGGAUGAUCUACUCAUGGCCAGGUUGAAGGCAAGGUAACACUUGCUGGAGGACCGAACCCACUAGUGUUGCAAAACUAGGGGAUGAGCUGUGGGUAGGGGUGAAAGGCUAAACAAAUCCGGAAAUAGCUGGUUCUCCCCGAAAACUAUUUAGGUAGUGCCUCGCGUAUUGCUCCAGGGGGUAGAGCACUGUCAUGGUUGGGGGGGUCAUUGCGACUUACCCCGCCAUAGCAAACUCCGAAUACCUGGAAGUAUUAGCGCGGGAGACAGAGCACUGGGUGCUAACGUCCAGACUCAAGAGGGAAACAACCCAGACCGCCAGCUAAGGUCCCCAAUAUUGACUAAGUGGGAAACGAAGUGGGAAGGCAUAGACAGUCAGGAGGUUGGCUUAGAAGCAGCCAUCCUUUAAAGAAAGCGUAAUAGCUCACUGAUCGAGUCGUCCUGCGCGGAAGAUGUAACGGGGCUAAGUCAAUAACCGAAGCUGCGGAUGUGCACUUUGUGCACGUGGUAGGGGAGCGUUCUGUACGCCUGCGAAGGUGACUCGUAAGGGUUGCUGGAGGUAUCAGAAGUGCGAAUGCUGACAUGAGUAGCGUUAAAUAGAGUGAAAAGCUCUAUCGCCGAAAGCGCAAGGUUUCCUACGCAACGUUCAUCGACGUAGGGUGAGUCGGCCCCUAAGGCGAGGGUGAAAACCGUAGCCGAUGGGAAGCAGGUUAAUAUUCCUGCACCAUUGUUUAAUGCGAUGGGGGGACGGAGAAGGUUAGUUCAGCCAGGUGUUGGAUGUCCUGGUUUAAGCAUGUAGCCGUGCCUGGUAGGCAAAUCCGCCGGGCUUAGGUGAGGUGUGAUGACGAGAGGGCUUGCCCUCGAAGUGAAUGAUACCCAGCUUCCAAGAAAAGCCUCUAAGCUUCAGUUAAACAAGACCGUACCGCAAACCGACACUGGUGCGCGUGCUGAAUAUGCUCAGGCGCUUGAGAGAACUCAGGAGAAGGAACUCGGCAAAUUGAUACCGUAACUUCGGGAGAAGGUAUGCCGCUAGUAGGUGAAGGAGUACAUCCGGAGCCCAACGCGGUCUCAGAGAAUCGGUGGCUGCGACUGUUUAUCAAAAACACAGCACUCUGCAAACACGAAAGUGGACGUAUAGGGUGUGACGCCUGCCCGGUGCCGGAAGGUUAAGUGAUGGGGUGCAAGCUCUUGAUCGAAGCCCCGGUAAACGGCGGCCGUAACUAUAACGGUCCUAAGGUAGCGAAAUUCCUUGUCGGGUAAGUUCCGACCUGCACGAAUGGCGUAACGAUGGCCACACUGUCUCCUCCUGAGACUCAGCGAACUUGAAAUGUUUGUGAUGAUGCAAUCUCCCCGCAGCUAGACGGAAAGACCCCAUGAACCUUUACUGUAGCUUUACAUUGGACUUUGAACCGGUUUGUGUAGGAUAGGUGGGAGGCUUUGAAGCGAGGAUGCUAGUUCUCGUGGAGCCAACCUUGAAAUACCACCCUGAUCUGUUUGAGGUUCUAACCUUGGCCUGUUAUCCAGGCUGGGGACAGUGUAUGGUAGGCAGUUUGACUGGGGCGGUCUCCUCCUAAAGGGUAACGGAGGAGUUCGAAGGUACGCUUGUUACGGUCGGACAUCGUGACUAAAGUGCAAUGGCAAAAGCGUGCUUGACUGCGAGACUGACAAGUCGAGCAGGUACGAAAGUAGGACAUAGUGAUCCGGUGGUUCUGUAUGGAAGGGCCAUCGCUCAACGGAUAAAAGGUACUCUGGGGAUAACAGGCUGAUACCGCCCAAGAGUUCAUAUCGACGGCGGUGUUUGGCACCUCGAUGUCGGCUCAUCUCAUCCUGGGGCUGUAGCCGGUCCCAAGGGUAUGGCUGUUCGCCAUUUAAAGAGGUACGUGAGCUGGGUUCAAAACGUCGUGAGACAGUUUGGUCCCUAUCUGCUGUGGGCGUUGGAAGUUUGAGGGAGCCUGCUCCUAGUACGAGAGGACCGGAGUGGACACACCUCUGGUGUACCUGUUGUCACGCCAGUGGCAUUGCAGGGUAGCUAAGUGUGGAAGAGAUAACCGCUGAAGGCAUCUAAGCGGGAAACUCGUCUCGAGAUAAGACUUCCCGGGGACUCGAUCCCCCUAAAGGGUCGUUCAAGACCAGGACGUUGAUAGGCUGGGUGUGGACGCGCAGUAAUGCGUGAAGCUAACCAGUACUAAUUGCCCGUGCGGCUUGACUCUAUAA
rnacentral:rRNA from 1 species